GAAAUGCGAUAAGUAGUGUGAAUUGCAGAAUUCAGUGAAUCAUCGAAUCUUUGAACGCACAUUGCGCCCCUUGGUAUUCCAUGGGGCAUGCCUGUUCGAGCGUCAUUUGUACCCUCAAGCUCAGCUUGGUGUUGGGUGUUUGUCCCGCCUUUUGCGUGUGGACUCGCCUUAAAGCAAUUGGCAGCCGGCAUAUUGGCCUGGAGCGCAGCACAAUUUGCGCCUCUUGCCAUGAAUGUUGGCAUCCAUCAAGCCCAUUUAUUUGCUCUUGACCUCGGAUCAGGUAGGGAUACCCGCUGAACUUAA
rnacentral:misc_RNA from 1 species